rnacentral:rRNA from 1 species
AUACGUAGGGGGCGAGCGUUGUCCGGAAUGAUUGGGCGUAAAGGGCGCGUAGGCGGCCCGGUAAGUCUGGUGUGAAAGUCCUGUUUUUAAGCUGGGAAUUGCUUUGGAUACUGUCGGGCUUGAGUGCAGGAGAGGUAAGUGGAAUUCCCAGUGUAGCGGUGAAAUGCGUAGAGAUUGGGAGGAACACCAGUGGCGAAGGCGACUUACUGGACUGUAACUGACGCUGAGGCGCGAAAGUGUGGGGAGCAAACAGGAUUAGAUACCCUGGUAGUCCACACUGUAAACGAUGAAUGCUAGGUGUAGGGGGUAUCGACCCCUUCUGUGCCGCAGUCAACACAAUAAGCAUUCCGCCUGGGGAGUACGGCCGCAAGGUUGAAACUCAAAGGAAUUGACGGGG